UGAGGAACCUAUCCCAGUCUCUGGAAUAACAGGUGGAAACACCUGCUAAUACCGGAUGCCGUUGGACCAUCGCAUGGUGGACCAACGAAAGAUUUAUCGGAGUGGGAGGGCCUCGCGGCCUAUCAGCUUGUUGGCGGGGUAAUGGCCCACCAAGGCGUCGACGGGUAGCUGGUCUGAGAGGGCGACCGGCCACACUGGGACUGAGACACGGCCCAGACUCCUACGGGAGCAGNA
rnacentral:rRNA from 1 species